rnacentral:lncRNA from 1 species
AUUAAAAGUUAUUUGUCUUUAUCGAUAUGGGGACGUACGGUAAUGUCAUGAACUGGUGAGAAAUUCCUUGAUUAUGUUAAUAUCGUCUAGGGAUAGGGGUAGGACGGUCAAUUGUAUUUUCUACCGAUCGCAUUGCAUUUUUGGUUACUAGGGGAGGCUAGGGAUAGCAAGCCGGUAAUUAAUAAUAGGCUCUUUUCACCAAGGGAUUGGGUUAAGGGUAGACUAGAAAGUUUGCAUGGCAAUUGGAUAAAUAAGUGAAGUAAAUAAGAAGAGUAGAUAUAUGAGAGUGGAUAAGAUGAAAUUGUAAACCCCAACAACACCAUUCUUCCAUAGUUUCUUAAAACCAAUUGAAUCAACUGCAUUGCAUGUUUAUUUUUUUUCUUUGCAUAUAACCACCAAAUUAAUUCUUUUCUCAAGUCUUACGCGAUUUGUUUACAUGAAAAGUAAGGCCUAAGAGUCCUUUGGGAAGAACGAUAUUGGGUUUACCAAUUAUAUUACUUGAUAACGAUCUGAUACACUUGCCAGUGGCUUAACAAGAAGUAAAUAAUUCUCUAGAUGGACAUCAAACUCUUUUGCCUCUCCUGUCUGUAAGUCCUUGAAGAAGUGGUUGCUGGCUUUUCUUACUUCUAGUAUGAAUGACCUCUUGCAUAAACAAGAAACAAACACCCUAGAAUCACUGUUAUAUAUAAAAAAUAAAAAAACAAAAAGAACAAAAACAAAAUAUAUUCAAACAAGUCAAAU